rnacentral:lncRNA from 1 species
CCAGGGCCGCCGAGAGCUUGGCGGGGGCCCGGGGCAAAAAAAUUUUUAGGGGCCCUUAUUGCAAAAAAAUGUUCCGGAAAAAAUUUUUUCGGACAAUAAAUUCUUUUUAGGUGCGUUAUAAUUGCUUUCGUUGGACUUUUCCGCAAUUUUCCAUACCAAAUUUCGGUUCAUUGCCCCCAAAACACAAAUAUUUUGGCCCGAAAACAGAAAUAUUUCGCCCGAAAAAAUGACUGGGGCCCAUUAAAUUUCUAACAUUAAAUUUCUAGGGGCCCCCAGAGC